GUCCACGCCCUAAACGAUGGGCACUAGGUGUGGGAGGUAUCGACCCCUUCCGUGCCGCAGCUAACGCAUUAAGUGCCCCGCCUGGGGAGUACGGCCGCAAGGUUGAAACUCAAAGGAAUUGACGGGGCCCGCACAAGCGGUGGUGCAUGUGGUUUAAUUCGACGCAACGCGAAGAACCUUACCUGGGCUUGACAUCCCUGGAACCUCCUGGAAACAGGGGGGUGCCCGCAAGGGAGCCAGGAGACAGGUGCUGCAUGGCUGUCGU
rnacentral:rRNA from 1 species